AGUCUUAAUAUUAACUUAAAUUGCAAAUUUAAGGAGGCUUAUUAUAUAAGCUAAGGCUU
rnacentral:tRNA from 1 species